GACGUAGGGCGCGAGCGUUGUCCGGAUUUAUUGGGCGUAAAGAGCUCGUAGGCGGCUUGUCGCGUCGUCCGUGAAAACUUGGGGCUCAACCCCAAGCUUGCGGUCGAUACGGGCAGGCUAGGGUUCGGUAGGGGAGACUGGAAUUCCUGGUGUAGCGGUGAAAUGCGCAGAUAUCAGGAGGAACACCGGUGGCGAAGGCGGGUCUCUGGGCCGAUACUGACGCUGAGGAGCGAAAGCGUGGGGAGCGAACAGG
rnacentral:rRNA from 1 species